rnacentral:lncRNA from 1 species
CAACAAACUUAAAAUCGUCCCAUCCUGGAAAAUUCUUUUCAACUAUUUGUUUUUGUGCUUUUAACCUAUAAAAGACAAUGGAAUAUGUUUUAUAGGCAGGAUUUUAUUUCAUUCCCUUCACUCUUCUGGCUACAUCGCAUUUAAUAGUUGUCACUUUCCUAACAGCAUUGAAUUUAAUUGUAUGUGAACGAAAUAGUCCUCAGGAAAUUUCUAAAUCUAAAUAUCACUUUGUAAUUCCCCUUCAUUAAAUAUCAUAAUUACAGAAAUCUGUGA